UCUCUUUCUCUCUAUACAUUGUGUCUGUCUGGUUUUCAGGGCACCUUUAUUUUUUUUUCUUUCGCUCACACGCACAGGCUCAAAUAUCUAGACGAAGAAGUAAGGUGGUUGCUACAGUCACUGUCUUUAUAAAGAAAGCUCAUCAUUGUAAUGCCAUCUUAUCCUUUUCACUCGUGCUCGGUCGGUGAUUAAAGUUCCCCAGGAUGGGGCUGGAAAAGGAGCUGGAAAUGAAACAGGAUUAGGAGGAAGAUCACAUUGCUGCAGCUGCAUCCAGCGGUGGCCACUGCCAGACGUGCCCUGUUUCUGGGAUCCUUGAUAUUAAAAAAAAAAAAAAAGCAACGGGAGAAAAUAUUUGAAGACAAAAGCUGCAACCUAAAAGAUCAUUUUCUUUAUUUAACAUGGCAGCAGGCGCCGUGCGUGGGGAGGAUCAACAUGCUGCAUGUUCAGUGGGACUUCUCUCCCUGUCUCCCUUCUAGGAUGAAAGGAGAUAAUGUAAUCUAUCCCGUGCCAAAUAGGCACCCGAGAUCCUGCUCUCCACUUAGGACCAAAUCAAGAACAGCCUCUCCCCUUGUGGGUUCCAGAACCAGCUACUCCAAGAAGCAGUCAUUUAAGCUAACAUCUUCAUCCUGCACCCUGCAACAUCUUCUGAGUUGUGAAGAGUCAUCACUUCUUAGUCUGAACUAAUGGCCCUGCAUUAUACAUGCUGGACCAGCAGGGAUGAGGGACAAAUCACGCCACCAGUGCCAGCUGCCACAGCCCGGGGGGACCCGAAGUCUGUUCCAGGGCCCAGGAAGACCUUAUGCGCCAGUAUGUCAGUGUCCUGCGCAACAUGCAUCAGACCCUGGUGCAGAAGAUGUGUGAGGAUGCUGAGUGGUGGAACCAUGCAUGGGACCAAUUCAUGCUGCAGUGUGAUACCAUGUGUGCCAUCAUGUCAUGCAUGAUGACACAACUGCCUGCUGUCGCUGCUCCUGCCUUCCACCCUCCUGACUUCCCUUAUGCCCAUUCCCCCUCUGCCUGCCCCCAUACGAUGCCUCUACCCCCUCCACAGUUGAUGCCCAUGAUCCCUUCCCAGGUGAUGUCCAUGCCCCCUCCCUCUGUCCCACCUGCUGUCCCUUACCCCUCUCCAGCCCCCCCUCCUGCCCAACUCCUUGUGGUCCCUGGACCCACACAACCCCGAUAAGGUCCCUGCACCUGAGGUGGCACAUCUAUCUGGCCCCAAUGCCACUCUGAGCCCUCUUCCCCCUCCAGGUUAUGAGGCCCUCUCCCCCUGCCCACCUGUUUGUAAUGAAAGAUAAAUUCAAAGCUCAUUUUGUUGGAAUCCAAACAGGUGUUUUUAUUGAGAGGUCAGGGAAGGGAUGAAGGGAGGGGUUGUGGUGGGGAAUGGGUAUGGCAGCAAGCCAGAAACCCCUGUUGAGGAGGCCCUGGGGAGAGUUACUGGGGUCCUUGAGAAAACCUCUCUUUCAGGGCCUCCCAGAUGCGUACCCCAGCCUGAUGGGCCUGGUGGAUGGCAGCUGUUCUCAGCUGCUUCAACGUUCACCCCUCAUGCUUGGCAUCUGCCCCCCUCCCCACCCGAAGGAAGGCCUCUCCCUUCCUCUCCACAAUGUUGUGGAGGACACAAUGUGCUGCGACCACCUCAGGGAUGUUAUGUUCCCCUAUGCUGAAGUGGGUCAGCAAGCACCUGAAAAGUUCCUUGAGGCGGCCGAAGACGCACUCUACCCGAACCCAGGUCUGGUUCAGGCAUUAAAUUGGUCCCUGGUGGGGUCCAGGUGGCCGGUAUAGGGUUUCAUAAGCCACAGCAUGAGAGGGUAGGCUGCAUCCCCCAUGAGGCACAGUGGCAUCUGUAUGUCCCCAACUUCAUAUUCACGAUGGGGGAAGAAUGUGCCUGCCUCCAGCUUCCUGCACAGGCUGGAAUUACAAGACACGCAGGCAUCGUGUGCUCUGCCCGACCACCCAACAAAAAUGUCAGUGAAUUGUUCACGGUGGCUGACCAGGGCCUGAAGCACCAUAGAAAAGUAGCCCUUUCUAUUAAUGUACAGGGCCACUUGAUGCUCCGGUGUGAAGAUUGAGAUGUGGAUCCCAUCAAUGGCUCCGGCACAGUUUGGGAACCCCAGGGAAGUAAAUCUGGCCAUGAUCAGGUCCAUGUCUCCCAGAUGGAUGACCCUCCACAACAGCAGCGAGUUGAUGGCCUUCACCACCUGCAGAAGGAGCUAAACAAAUACACAAAACUGAGAA